ACGCUGGCGGCAGGCCUAACACAUGCAAGUCGAGCGGUAGAGAGAAGCUUGCUUCUCUUGAGAGCGGCGGACGGGUGAGUAAUGCCUAGGAAUCUUCCUGGUAGUGGGGGAUAACGCUCGGAAACGGACGCUAAUACCGCAUACGUCCUACGGGAGAAAGCAGGGGACCUUCGGGCCUUGCGCUAUCAGAUGAGCCUAGGUCGGAUUAGCUAGUUGGUGAGGUAAUGGCUCACCAAGGCGACGAUCCGUAACUGGUCUGAGAGGAUGAUCAGUCACACUGGAACUGAGACACGGUCCAGACUCCUACGGGAGGCAGCAGUGGGGAAUAUUGGACAAUGGGCGAAAGCCUGAUCCAGCCAUGCCGCGUGUGUGAAGAAGGUCUUCGGAUUGUAAAGCACUUUAAGUUGGGAGGAAGGGCAGUAAAUUAAUACUUUGCUGUUUUGACGUUACCGACAGAAUAAGCACCGGCUAACUCUGUGCCAGCAGCCGCGGUAAUACAGAGGGUGCAAGCGUUAAUCGGAAUUACUGGGCGUAAAGCGCGCGUAGGUGGUUUGUUAAGUUGGAUGUGAAAUCCCCGGGCUCAACCUGGGAACUGCAUUCAAAACUGACAAGCUAGAGUAUGGUAGAGGGUGGUGGAACUUCCUGUGUAGCGGUGAAAUGCGUAGAUAUAGGAAGGAACACCAGUGGCGAAGGCGACCACCUGGACUGAUACUGACACUGAGGUGCGAAAGCGUGGGGAGCAAAC
rnacentral:rRNA from 1 species